CGGGUUGUAAAGCACUUUAAGUUGGGAAGAAAAAACUCGCUCUAACACAGUGAGUCUUGACGGUACCGACAGAAUAAGCACCGGCUAACUCUGUGCCAGCAGCCGCGGUAAUACAGAGGGUGCAAGCGUUAAUCGGAUUUACUGGGCGUAAAGCGUGCGUAGGCGGUUUGCUAAGUCGGUUGUGAAAGCCCUGGGCUUAACCUGGGAAUUGCAGUCGAUACUGGCAGGCUAGAGAACGGUAGAGGGAGGCGGAACUCCAGGUGUAGCGGUGAAAUGCGUAGAUAUCUGGAAGAACACCGAUGGCGAAGGCAACCUCCUGGGCCUGUUCUGACGCUGAGGCACGAAAGCGUGGGUAGCAAACAGGAUUAGAUACCCUGGUAGUCCACGCUGUAAACGAUGAGAACUUGACGUCGGGUUGCUUAGCAAUUCGGUGUCGAAGCUAACGCGCUAAGUUCUCCGCCUGGGGAGUACGGCCGCAAGGUUGAAACUC
rnacentral:rRNA from 1 species